UUGGAAACAGGUGCUAAUACCGCAUAACAACUUGGACCGCAUGGUCCGAGUUUGAAAGAUGGCUUCGGCUAUCACUUUUGGAUGGUCCCGCGGCGUAUUAGCUAGAUGGUGAGGUAACGGCUCACCAUGGCAAUGAUACGUAGCCGACCUGAGAGGGUAAUCGGCCACAUUG
rnacentral:rRNA from 1 species